UACGAAGGGGGCUAGCGUUGUUCGGAAUUACUGGGCGUAAGCGCACGUAGGCGGACUACUAAGUCAGGGGUGAAAUCCCGGGGGCUCAAACCCCGGAACUGCCUUUGAUACUGAUAGUCUCGAGUCCGGAAGAGGUGAGUGGAAUUCCGAGUGUAGAGGUGAAAUUCGUAGAUAUUCGGAGGAACACCAGUGGCGAAGGCGGCUCACUGGUCCGGUACUGACGCUGAGGUGCGAAAGCGUGGGGAGCAAACAGGG
rnacentral:rRNA from 1 species